rnacentral:lncRNA from 1 species
AACCCACUGAGCCACCCAGGUGCCCCUCUUUCUGCUGCAUUUUAAAAUUUGUUUCUGAUUGUUUUAUUCAUUGAUAUUAGGUGGGUGAAUUUGUGAAUGAUUCUUUGAAAUGUUUGUAUGCCUUUAACCUAGUGACAUUUAGUAUUUCCCAAAUGGUUUGCUGAAAUUUUUGUUAAUUAAAAGUAUUUCUUAAAUUAAAUAUUCAGCUAAAGAUUAAGUUUAAUUUAAACUCUUAAUUGAUAAGAUAUUGUUUUCUAUCUUUAUGAAGGUUAUAGCUUUUAUCUAACCAUUCUGAUUUGUCCAUUUUAUUAAAAUAUAUAGAUUUUUCAGCAAAACUAGACUUAGAAAUGACAACAGAAAAAGAGGAAGAAGGUUGUAAUGAAAGUGAAAAUAAACACCUGCAGAUUGAAGAAACGGAGAAGCACCAAAAUGAUGAAAUGGCAGUAUUAGAAAGCAUAUAUUCUUCUGCUGCUGCUAGACUAAUGCAUCCAAUACGGAGUGGAAAAACUGAUAACAACCUAUGUCCUAUUAUGGAAAAUGAAGAAUCUGAUGGGUAAGCCUAUAACAAUAUUUAAAUAGUAGGUAAUUAUUAUUUUCCUAUAAAACAAAUUCUAGUUGGA